rnacentral:rRNA from 1 species
CGAGAAAGCCCGCAAGGGUGAGUACAGCGGCGCACGGGUGCGUAACACGUGGGUAAUCUGCCCUGGAGCCCGGAAUAACUCCCCGAAAGGGGUGCUAAUGCCGGAUGAGCCCACGGGGUCCUUGGACCCUGAGGGAAAAGGUGGCCUCUGCAUGCAAGCUAUCACUUCAGGAUGAGCCCGCGGCCCAUCAGCUAGUUGGCGGGGUAAUGGCCCACCAAGGCUACGACGGGUAGCUGGUCUGAGAGGACGAUCAGCCACACUGGAACUGAGACACGGUCCAGACUCCUACGGGAGGCAGCAGUGGGGAAUCUUGCGCAAUGGGCGAAAGCCUGACGCAGCAACGCCGCGUGUGUGAUGAAGGUCUUCGGAUCGUAAAGCACUGUCGCGAGGGACG